UACGUAGGGUGCGAGCGUUAAUCGGAAUUACUGGGCGUAAAGGGUGCGCAGGCGGUUCUGCAAGUCAGGCGUGAAAGCCCCGGGCUUAACCUGGGAAUGGCGCUUGAAACUACAGGACUGGAGUAUGGCAGAGGGAGGUGGAAUUCCACGUGUAGCGGUGAAAUGCGUAGAGAUGUGGAGGAACACCGAUGGUGAAGGCAGCCUCCUGGGCCAAUACUGACGCUCAUGCACGAAAGCGUGGGGAGCAAACAGG
rnacentral:rRNA from 1 species